GCUGAAAGCUUGGUUAGCGAACAGGAUUAGAUACCCUGUAGUCCACGCCGUAAACGAUGAAUACUAGAUGUCGAACGCAAGUUCGGUGUCGGAGCAAACGCAUUAAGUAUUCCACCUGGGGAGUACGAUCGCAAGGCUGAAACUCAAAGGAAUUGACGGGGGCCCGCACAAGCAGUGGAGCAUGUGGUUUAAUUAGAUGCAACGCGAAGAACCUUACCUGGGCUUGAAACGCAGUGGACUGAAUGUGAAAGCAUUCUUCUCUUCGGAGUCGCUGUACAGGUGCUGCAUGGCUGUCGUCAGCUCGUGCCGUGAGGUGUUGGGUUAAGUCCCGCAACGAGCGCAACCCUUACCAUUAGUUGCCAUCAGGUUAAGCUGGGCACUUUAAUGGGACUGCCUACGCAAGUAGUGAGGAAGGUGGGGAUGACGUCAAGUCAGCAUGGCCCUUACGCCCAGGGCUACACACGUGCUACAAUGGGUGCAACAACGGGUUGCUAAGCCGCAAGGUGGAGCCAAUCCCUUAAAUGCAUCCUCAGUUCGGAUUGGAGUCUGCAACUCGACUCCAUGAAGUCGGAAUUGCUAGUAAUCGCGCAUCAGCACGGCGCGGUGAAUACGUUCCCGGGCCUUGUACACACCGCCCGUCAAGCCAUGGAAGCCGGGGGUACCCAAAGUCGGUGACCCAACCCUUCGG
rnacentral:rRNA from 2 species